UAGAAAUACCGCACUGGUGGGGUAUGGAUCCGAAGCCUCUAGAAGGAUAACAAAGGCUCUCCACACUCUACUCCUACUCAAUACGUCCCCGGCGUACAGAGCGGUAACAUGUCUCUCCAAAUAUCUGAGCUUGGGUAUACGGGGAAACCCAACCCCUUGGGAGGAUGGGUGAUAUGGCUAAAUUGAGAGGA
rnacentral:ribozyme from 1 species